CGCACACAAGUAGCAGAGAUCUACAAUCACACAGCCCCUUCUCCCCGUAUCUUUCUCAAAAAAAAAACUUCUCCCCGUAUCAAGCAGCCGCCGCCGCCGCCGCCGUAGCUCCAUGGCCCAAGAUCCCCGCAACCGAUCAUUCGACGAGUCCGCUCCUUGCUCUGCGGCCUUCCAAGUCCAAAAGCCCAGACCUAGCACCUGAAGCAGCAUCCCCUUGUUCCAGCUUUUUGAUCGAGGAAGGACGACAAGAGGAGGCAGGGGGACAUGGGAAUUGGAAGUCGGUCCCAUUAUACGCGGCGAGGGACGACGACCUCAAGACGGCGCUGCUGCCACAGAAGAAGGCGCGGAGCCGAUGCCCGCGAACGGCUACUGGACCUGCCCGCCGAGCUGGAGCUGCUGUGGCGCGCGGUAUGGGGGGCGGGUGGGGACGGGCCAAGAAGACCGGGGUGACGGACGAGGUGGCGGAGGACGUGCGCAGGGUGUGGUCCGGUGGCCUGGAUCUUGCUGCCGUCUGGGUCGUUAAGCCGCUCCAAGAUGGACAGAGCAAGGGAGAUCCUUGAGGUACGUACGUCUGGUUCAUAGAUGGUGAGGGCAAAUCCUAGAUAGAUAGAGCAAGGGAGAUCCUUGAGGUCUUGAUGGGCUGUUUGCGUUUUGGACCUCGCCACCUUCCAGAUCCAUCCAGAGUGCUUGGCAGAGAAUUAUGAAAUUUUGACGUAAAUGAUCAUCAAUCAUAACUGACAAUGUUGGAUGCCAAUUGCAGUUAGUUGUUGACAGCUUGGUGCUGACUGCUAAUCUAGCAAAUUCUUUGGAUGUUUGGUACAAUUGAGAUUUUAAGGGCUGGCCUCUUUGAUUUGUACGACUUCUGUUCUUAGCCCAUUGAGCUUGUUUGAUAAGACUUGUUUUUGUAGGACAUGGUAACUUCACUUUCCAGAAUUGAAUCUUCACUCAGGUGAAGUGAUUCCCUUGGGCAUUGAUAUCUUUGGGGUAAUAUAUGUACAUAAUGAAAAUUGAAUUAAGAUUACAAUCGGAGUACAAGCCAUGAUCUGUGGACCAUAUAUAUUGUAGUCUGCUUCACUUUCACUUCCUAUUGGGAAAAUUUGCAAAUCGGACCAUGUCUCAACAGUGUCUGGAAGAAAGUUUUGUCCAUGAAAUUUACCUUUUUUUCUUUCCUUUUUAAUGCUCAUCACAUAUUUAUAUAUGUCCGCUAUGGUUAAAGUUUGCUAAUAUUAUUCAGUCUGUUCCCUGCACUUGUUUUACAAGCUAGAUUGUGUGAACAAGUAUAUACAGAUAUGGGAAAAGGCAACCAUUUCACAUUAAUGUGGGGAGGUAAUAUUAGGUAGAGAUUCUUGCAUCUGCACGUUAACUUUAGGUGUAAUGCUGUGGCAUAUUUACUUGCAGCUAGCAUCUCAUGGAUCAACGAUAUAGCAUUUGUUCCUCAACUUUAAUGUCAAUGCAAAUGUAAUUAUGAUCAUGCAUCAACAGGAGAAGUCCUCACUUUAUUUGAACAUUCAGGUGUCUUUCUCUUGCAUGGUGGUAUUGAUCUGUUAUUUGCAUUGCUAAAGCUUGGUUCUGUUAUAUCCCAGAGAAAAGAUACAGUGAGUCAACUAUACAAAUGAUUCUUUGAAUAUUCAGUACAUGCUUCUCUGAAUGUUGGUAAAGCUUGGUGGUAUUACUUCUCUAAUUAACUUAUAUCCAACGGUCAUGGAAACAUCAUCACAGACAUUUUGAACAGAGUAAAGGUAAUUACUGAGCAUUUGUACCAACUGAUGCACAUUGUGAUUCCAGCUUCUGGAAAGAAAGGAACUAUAUGCUAUUUGCAUAGACAGUUGUUUGACUUGCAGGUUAUUUUCAGUGAGAAUACCACUGACCAAGUUGGAGCCUCUGUCAAAAGAUUAUCAUGCGGCACUUCGCUGCUAUAUAUUCAUAUAAAAGAGGAUUGGCAUUACAUUAUUUAAGUAGCAGAUUUUGUUCUUGCUCUAUAUUCUUUCUUUUUGAACCUUUCUAAGUAAUCAUUCCUGUGUAGAGCCAGCGAACAAGGGCCCGUGAAGAGCCGGCAAACGAGGCCACCCAUGUGCCUUCGACGUGGCGGCGCGGAGCCCCCUACCGCCAGCUCCGCUUCAGUUCGAGAUCCGCACUGGUCUUCUCCCUACCGUCGUUGUGCUGCCUGCUGCCCGCUUCACCCUAUCUCCUCAGCAACAGGCAGCUCCAUCUAUCGUUAACUAGAAGCCCAGAGGUUCACCUCUACCACGAUGGCCGCAUCGCUACAACCAAAACUCCACCAUUGUCCAGCCACCAACCCAGUGCAGUUGGAUUCAACGUGGACCAUAACCUCUUUUGGUGUUACCAACAACGUAUUUUCAGAAAUAAGAAUUGAUCAUGUAUAUUAUCUCUUUCAAUUUGAAAGAGAAGACAAUAAUAGUUUCAUUAUGGUUGUUCUGAAGGAAUGACAAGGCCAUUGAUGUUGUCAAGGUUACUACAGGUACAUGCUUUAUUCUAUUGAUACUUUUCAACAGAUACAAUUUAUAGUCUUUGUGGUAGAAAAAGUUGAGCACGAGUAUACAGUUUCAGAAUGUGAUGGUCCUCUGUCAGAAAUUUUCUGAUAGGUCAAAUAUUGUGUCAUUUCAAUCUCAGAUUUUGGAUUCUAAUAGGAAGCCUGUGAAAGUUCUGAACGAAUAUUUAUUUAUU